rnacentral:rRNA from 1 species
AGGACGAACGCUGGCGGCGUGCUUAACACAUGCAAGUCGAGCGGAAAGGCCCUUCGGGGUACUCGAGCGGCGAACGGGUGAGUAACACGUGAGCAACCUGCCCUUAGCUUCGGGAUAGCUCCGGGAAACCGGAAUUAAUACCGAAUAUGACUUUGGCUGACAUCAGCAGAAGUGGAAAGUUUUUCGGCUAGGGAUGGACUCGCGGCCUAUCAGCUAGUUGGUGAGGUAACGGCCCACCAAGGCGACGACGGGUAGCCGGCCUGAGAGGGCGACCGGCCACACUGGGACUGAGACACGGCCCAGACUCCUACGGGAGGCAGCAGUGGGGAAUAUUGCGCAAUGGGCGAAAAGCCUGACGCAGCGACGCCGCGUGGGGGAUGAAUGCCUUCGGGUUGUAAACCCCUUUCAGCAGGGACGAAGCGAAAGUGACGGUACCUGCAGAAGAAGCGCCGGCUAACUACGUGCCAGCAGCCGC